CGGACGGGUGAGUAAUGUCUGGGAAACUGCCUGAUGGAGGGGGAUAACUACUGGAAACGGUAGCUAAUACCGCAUAACGUCGCAAGACCAAAGAGGGGGACCUUCGGGCCUCUUGCCAUCGGAUGUGCCCAGAUGGGAUUAGCUAGUAGGUGGGGUAACGGCUCACCUAGGCGACGAUCCCUAGCUGGUCUGAGAGGAUGACCAGCCACACUGGAACUGAGACACGGUCCAA
rnacentral:rRNA from 1 species